rnacentral:rRNA from 1 species
CAGCACCUCAAGUGGUCAGGAUGAUUAUUGGGCCUAAAGCAUCCGUAGCCGGCUCUGUAAGUUUUCGGUUAAAUCUGUACGCUCAACGUACAGGCUGCCGGGAAUACUGCAGAACUAGGGAGUGGGAGAGGUAGACGGUACUCGGUAGGAAGGGGUAAAAUCCUUUGAUCUAUUGAUGACCACCUGUGGCGAAGGCGGUCUACCAGAACACGUUCGACGGUGAGGGAUGAAAGCUGGGGGAGCAAACCGGAUUAGAUACCCGAGUAGUCC